UGGCUGACAUGACUUGACUUAAGAGACUUAUAUGUUGGUGGAAACUUAAGGUGCUUUGCAUUAAAAAAGCUAAUAAUUGACCAAAUAGGUUCCGUAAGAUGUCUCCUUCCUUCCCCAACUCAAACACCACACACACGUAGAGGGAGGGAGGGGGAAGGAGUAGGAGUCGGUUCACUCACCUGCCAUCAAAUUGGCAUCCUUUAGUUUUCCUUGAGAAUGUCCUCUUUGAUGCAUUUCAGUAGCAUAAAUAUGCUCAUACAUGUGCAUUUCCAAUGUACACACCCUAGUCUAGUUAAAUUCAUCAUAUUGAUGUUUUGUUGGCUCAAAAGCUACUUAGCUACAUUUCUUUUUGAGUCAUAACUAGCUCUGAGUUUUGAGUCAUUAUUAAUUCAAUUAUUCAUGUCUUCUUUUAUUG
rnacentral:misc_RNA from 1 species